GCCUGUUUGGCUCAGUGGAUAGAGCGUCAGCCUGCGGACUGAAAGGUCCCAGGUUCGAUUCCGGUCAAGGGCA
rnacentral:tRNA from 1 species